AAAGCUUUAAGUUAAAAGUAAACUAUUAAUCUUCAAAGUUAAAUAUAUAUUUAUAUAUAAGCUUUA
rnacentral:tRNA from 1 species